rnacentral:rRNA from 1 species
ACACAUGCAAGUCGAACGAGCGAGAGAGAGCUUGCUUUCUCGAGCGAGUGGCGAACGGGUGAGUAACGCGUGAGGAACCUGCCUCAAAGAGGGGGACAACAGUUGGAAACGACUGCUAAUACCGCAUAAGCCCACGGCUCGGCAUCGAGCAGAGGGAAAAGGAGCAAUCCGCUUUGAGAUGGCCUCGCGUCCGAUUAGCUAGUUGGUGAGGUAACGGCCCACCAAGGCAACGAUCGGUAGCCGGACUGAGAGGUUGAACGGCCACAUUGGGACUGAGACACGGCCCAGACUCCUACGGGAGGCAGCAGUGGGGAAUAUUGCACAAUGGGGGAAACCCUGAUGCAGCGACGCCGCGUGGAGGAAGAAGGUCUUCGGAUUGUAAACUCCUGUUGUUGGGGAAGAUAAUGACGGUACCCAACAAGGAAGUGACGGCUAACUACGUGCCAGCAGCCGCGGUAAAACGUAGGUCACAAGCGUUGUCCGGAAUUACUGGGUGUAAAGGGAGCGCAGGCGGGAAGACAAGUUGGAAGUGAAAUCUAUGGGCUCAACCCAUAAACUGCUUUCAAAACUGUUUUUCUUGAGUAGUGCAGAGGUAGGCGGAAUUCCCGGUGUAGCGGUGGAAUGCGUAGAUAUCGGGAGGAACACCAGUGGCGAAGGCGGCCUACUGGGCACCAACUGACGCUGAGGCUCGAAAGUGUGGGUAGCAAACAGGAUUAGAUACCCUGGUAGUCCACACCGUAAACGAUGAUUACUAGGUGUUGGAGGAUUGACCCCUUCAGUGCCGCAGUUAACACAAUAAGUAAUCCACCUGGGGAGUACGACCGCAAGG